UACGUAGGCAGCGAGCGUUGUUCGGAGUUACUGGGCGUAAAGGGUGUGUAGGCGGUUUUCUAAGUCUGGUGUGAAAUUUCGGGGCUCAACCCCGAACUUGCAGUGGGUACGGGCAGACUAGAGUGUGGUAGGGGAGACUGGAAUUCCUGGUGUAGCGGUGAAAUGCGCAGAUAUCGGGAGGAACACCGGUGGCGAAGGCGGCGACCUGGUCCGAUACUGACGCUGAGGCGCGAAAGCGUGGGGAGCGAACAGG
rnacentral:rRNA from 1 species